GGCCCGAUCCAUUGUCAGACUGACCUGGGUUUGCUCCCUUUUCCUGACACUCAGCCAGUUUGCACCCAGUAAAUGAUUUGGCAUUUUCCAGUUCCAGUUUCCUCCUCAGGAAAAUGGGGAUCAUGUAGCCUGACCCAGUCUCCUUUUGUUCUCCCCUAAUGGAGAAAGCAAGUCUGUAUACUCGUCUGCCCCUACUUUUUUGUUUUAUCCAGGGAUUUAACAUCAUUUGGUGGCCAUUUGAUUAAUUCCCAUCAAUCCUUUAUUUAGUACUAGCCCUAGAGACUAGGGUGUUUCUCUUAAAUCACUCAAGUGUUAACCCAGGUUGCAUGAGAGCCCUGGGGGCUGAUGAUUCUUGACUAAGCUUGGACUCCAGUGGUCAGAUAAGUUAGAAAAUGUGUGUAUCCCUGAAUCCCAUUCGCAGUGGUAGUGAUCAAAUAAAGAAAAUCUAUAUUGUACACCUGAAACUAAUAUAACAGUGUGUAUUAACUAACUGGAAUUAAAAUAAAAACACAAAAGAAAAAAAGAAGAAAAUGUAUAUAUCCCAUAAAUCGCCCGUACUGUGGUCUUCCCCAGCAGGGAAAGCCCUGAGAGUCUGCCUUGUUUCUCCUCUGAGUCCAUCCGCAAAUAGUGAGGGCUCUCAACCUUCAAAAUAAAUCCUAAUCUGACCACUUUCCCCCACCUGUGCGGCCCUCAGCUUUGUCCCAGGCACCAUCACCCUUCACCGGCCUGGGCUACCGUGGUGGCUUCCUCACUGGGCUCCCUGCUUCUCCCUCUAUCCCUCACAGUCCACUGUCCCCAUGCAGCAGGCAGAGGGAUCAUGUGAAAACCCAAGUCACGUCCUGUCCCUCCUCUGCUCCCGUCUCACUCAGAGUGGAGAGCCAGGUCUUCAAGGCCCCUCCCUGCACCAUCUGCCCCUGCUCCCUGUCCUCCACACUGGCCUCCUUGACAUGGGCUUUGCAUUUGCUGUUCCUACUGACUGGAACGUACUUCCCCCAGAUCUCUCUGACUCCUUAUUCCAUUUAGGUCUGCACUGGCCAGCUAUCUCUUGCCCCCAGACUGGGCCAGGCAGCCCCUCUGGGCACCUGAGGCCCCCAGCCUCCUUCCUGCCAGCCCUGGCCACUCUGGGUCAGCCCGGUCUAGAGACAAGUCUGUGGCACCCGCUGAACUGUGAGGGCAGGGCCGGGUUGGUUCACUCACGGCUGUGUCCCUAGCACCGCCCCGGGUGGGCUGGGCACCGAGCAGGCACUUGGAUAAUGGGGAUGGGUGAAUCUUUUCAUUCCUUCAACAAAUAUUUACUGAGCUUCCCCUGUUUGCCUGGCUUGGGGGUGGGGCUGGGGGUGGAGUUGGGAAAUAAUUGGACAUAGCCUUUCUCUCAACGUCGUGUGUUCUGUGGCAGAACAGACAGCACACAGGUAAACAAGUAAGUGCGUAUUGUCAGGAGGGAAUAGUGCCCUGGAGACAAGAGAAGACAGGGUGAAGGGGCUCCUGUGUCCCUGCCUGUAAAGGUGAUGUUUGAGCAGCACCUGAGUGCAGAGAGGGAGGAAGAUGAAGAACCGGAGCAGGGAGGCUGCCUAUAGAGUCGCCGUGACCUGCGCACAUCCCUCGUAGUGAAUCCGGGAGAGCUAAGAACCGCAGGGCUCCCCGAAUCCACACCUGCCUCCUCUCUGCGGCGGGGGUCCUUUCUUGCAAGGAGCUCACAGCUGAGCAACAGAGACCGGAAGAGCCUAACAAGAAAAGGGAUCAUCUCAAUCUCCCCCGUAC